GGGGAUUUAGCUCAGUGGUAGAGUGCUUGCUUAGCAAGCACAAGGCCCUGGGUUCAGUCCCCA
rnacentral:tRNA from 1 species